UACGUAGGGGGCGAGCGUUGUCCGGAGUUACUGGGCGUAAAGUGCUUGUAGGCGGUCCACCAAGUUUGGGGUGACAGUUGCCGACUUAAUCGGCAAAGUGCCUCAAAGACUGGCGGACUUGAGGGCCACAGAGGGACAUGGAACUCCAGGUGUAGUGGUGAAAUGCGUAGAUAUCUGGAAGAACACCAAAGGCGAAGGCAGUGUCCUGGGUGGUCGCUGACGCUGAGAGGCGAAAGCCAGGGGAGCGAACGGG
rnacentral:rRNA from 1 species